rnacentral:tRNA from 1 species
CUCGCAGUAGCUCAACCGGAUGAGCACACCCCUACUGAGGGCGCGAAUGGAGGUUCGAGUCCUCUCUGUGAGACCA